rnacentral:tmRNA from 1 species
GGGGCCGACUUGGAUUCGACAGCGGCUACGUGAGGUGUGGUAAGCAUGCCGGGUGUGAUGUGCGACCCGUAUCCCAGUGCAUCACCGCCAUAACUGGCGACCACGACUACGCGCUCGCAGCCUAAUGGCCUCAGGCCAAGGGCUUUAUCCGUGUGAACAACAGUAGCACGGACGAGCACCCCUCGGGGAGGCCCGUCAUCCUCCUUCCCGGCCCAGGGGUGUCAUCCUGGAAGACUGGCCCGUGCGGUGGUCCGAAGCACGGGUAAGAAACAGGACCUAAGCCUGCAUAGGGGUGCCCUUCCCCACGUGCAGGUCGAAAACCAACGAAGCGGCUAAGCAUGUAGAAGGCCCGCAUUGCGGUCGUUUGGACGAGGGUUCGAUCCCCUCCGGCUCCACAG